UACAGAGGGUGCAAGCGUUAAUCGGAAUUACUGGGCGUAAAGCGUGCGUAGACGGUUGCGUAAGUCAGAUGUGAAAGCCCCGGGCUCAACCUGGGAAUUGCAUUUGAGACUGCGUAGCUAGGGUGCGGAAGAGGGAAGCGGAAUUCGGUGUAGCGGUGAAAUGACGUAGAUAUCGGAAGGAACACCAGUGGCGAAAGCGGCUCCUGG
rnacentral:rRNA from 1 species